ensembl:lncRNA
CCAGAUAUAGCUCCUUGACCUUGGACAAGAACUGUGAACCAAAGUGAAGCAAUGCCAACUGCAGCUGUAGCAAGAGCAGCACUGUCACCACCACUCAACAGACAGAUUCUUCAGCCUAGAGUUUCACUCUUACAUUGAACAAGUAGAGCACGUUGCCUGGGAGUCCAUCUCAGCCUGAGCUAUACAAAAGCAGCAGUGGGAAGCAUUCUGUACUAACCACAGUACUACAGAGAUGCCCAGACACAAGUUCACUGGUACCCUCAACUACUUAGACAGGAGCCUAGCAUGGCUGUUCUCUGAGGGGCUCUACCAGCAGCUGACUGAACAAAUACAGAUACUCACAGUCAACCAUUGGACCGAGGUUGGGAACCCCUAUGAAAAAG